UUAAAUUUCUUUAUUUACAUUUGAAUUGAUGUGUAGAGAAGCAAACAGGAGAUAUUACGCGUUGUAAAUCAUGCAGCCAUAUGAGAUGUGAGAGGAAAACCAGAUGAGUUUCCAAACUGAAACAUGAAUAAACAUUUGUUAAUGUUCAAUCAAUGCCAUUCUCAUCUCAUUUCCUGGUUGAAAAAUAAAAGUUUUACAUCUGAAA